rnacentral:rRNA from 1 species
UACGUAGGGCGCGAGCGUUGUCCGGAAUUAUUGGGCGUAAAGAGCUCGUAGGCGGCCGGUUGCGUCUGCUGUGAAAUCCCGGGGCUUAACCCCGGGCGUGCAGUGGAUACGGGCCGGCUGGAGGCAGGCAGGGGAGAAUGGAAUUCCCGGUGUAGCGGUGAAAUGCGCAGAUAUCGGGAGGAACACCGGUGGCGAAGGCGGGUCUCUGGGCAUCUCCUGACGCUGAGGCGCGAAAGCGUGGGGAGCAAACGGG